rnacentral:rRNA from 1 species
CGGUGGAGCAUGUGGUUUAAUUCGAAGCAACGCGAAGAACCUUACCUGGUCUUGACAUCCUUCUGACCGGUCCUUAACCGGACCUUUCCUUCGGGACAGAAGUGACAGGUGGUGCAUGGUUGUCGUCAGCUCGUGUCGUGAGAUGUUGGGUUAAGUCCCGCAACGAGCGCAACCCCUAUCUUUAGUAGCCAGCAUUUCAGGU